UAUGGUCAUAUCAUGUUGAAACGCCAGUUUUCAUACAAUUACUGAAGUUAAGCAACAUUGAACCUGAUCAGUACCUAGAUGAGUGACCACUUGUGAAUAACAGGUGCUGUAA